rnacentral:rRNA from 1 species
AUUGAACGCUGGCGGCAGGCCUAACACAUGCAAGUCGAGCGAGCGUCGGACGGGUGAGUAAUGUAUGGGGACUGCCCUAUAGAGGGGGAUAACUACUGGAAACGGUAGCUAAUACCGCUUCCUAUCGGUUGACCCAUAUGCGCGUAGCUAGUAGGUGAGGUAAUGGCUCACCGAGGCGACGAUCCCUAGCUGGUCUGAGAGGAUGAUCAGCCGAACGGGGACGGAGACAGGGCCCAGACGCCAACGGAGGAAGCAGGGGGGAAUAGGGCACAAUGGGCGCAAGCCUGAUGCAGCCAUGCCGCGAGGAUGAAGAAGGCACUAGGGUUGUAGAGUACUAUCAGUAGGGAGGCGUUACCGACAGAAGAAGCACCGGCUAACUCCGUGCCAGCAGCCGCGGUAAUUC